GCCACUCUUCUGGAUCAGGCUCCUCUUCUUUAAUCCUAAUAUCGCUCCGGCAGAGUGAGAGGCGGCGGCGGCGGCGGCCUCAUCCUCCUCCGGCGACGGCGGGCCGAUCUUGCUGCAGGUGGCCGCCAGCAGAGCGAGCGGUGACGGCUGCGCGUCCUGGGGGGCGGCCGCCGCGGCGGAGGCCGAGGCGUUGCCGUUGCCGUGCUGCAGGUACUCGCCGUGGCCGCUGCUGUCCACGUCCAAGGCAGCCAUUUCCUCUUGUUUCACGGGCUGCUCGGGAGCUGCGGGCACGGCGGGGAGGGGGAGGGGAGAGUCACUGACGGGAGCGAUCACCCCCUCCUCCCCUCCUCCCUCCCUCUUCCCCCCCCCCCUAACCCCGGCGCUCCCCCCGCCCUCCCGCACGGAGCCCUCCUCCUCCUCCUCCUCCUCCUCCCCGUGCUGCUGCCCCUGCCCCUCUUCUCCCUCCUCCCCCUGCUCCUCCUGCUGCCGCUCUCAGUGCCGCUCUCGCCUCGCUGCCGCGCGGACGCUCGGGGGCCGGAGCGGGGGACGCGCAGGGCCGGAGCAGGAGCGGGGAGCCCCGCGGGGCGGCUCGGUCGGUGCGUACGUACCGGUCAUGGUGCGGGUGCGAGCGGACGGCUGGCGGGGCGGACGGCGGGCGGGCCGGCUGGCUGGCGCGCAGGCCCUGCGGGCCGGGCUAGGCGGCCGCCGCCGGGGACAUGCUUAUUGUGCUCACGGGCUGAAGCGGCGGCGGCGGCCCGAGCCUACUCCGGGGUUUUUUUUCCUAUUUUGAUUGACGGUGCGGGAAAGCCGAAAGGUGGGGCUUGCAGCGGGAGAGGGGGCCCGGCCGACACCGCCGCCCGCCCGCCCGCCUGCCAGCCCGGAACUCCCGCCUACGCCCGCGCGCGCGCGCUGGUUGGCUGCGCCUCGGCGCCAGCGCCGCUCGCACUGGCCGCCCGGCCUGCCAGUCACCCGCCGGGGGCGGGGGGGGCGCCUCGCGCCGAGGCGGCUUCCUGUUUGCCGGGGCUGGUGCGAGGAACAAUGAGCGGCGGCCGCGGCCUGCUGCGUCCCGCGCCUCCCGGGCACCGCGCGGCGGCCCAGCGCCGCCAGGACGGGGUCGGGCGGGAGGGGGCGGCGGGGCCCGGCCGCGGAGGUCGCUUGGAGGCUUUGCCCCCCCGCGGUGCCCGGGGGCGCCAGGCCAGCUCGGCGCUCGUUCGAAGCCUCCUCGGCGGGGUGCCGGCGGCGGAGCCUGCGCUCCGCCAGCGCUAAGAUGUCGGCGCGCCGUCCCCGGGGAGCCGAGCCGCCCGGGCGGGCCCCGCUUGGCUGGGUGCCGCGCCGGCCCCUGGCGGCCGGUGGCGGGGUGGGCGCGGGGGGCCGCGCCUCGGCGGAGCGCGGCCGUUACGUAAGGAGCUGGCGGCCGCGGCUCGCACCUGGCGGCCGGCUGAGCGGCUCCCGCGUCAGGCACAGCCCUCCAGAGACGCGAGGGCUCAGCAGAGGCCUCAGAGAAGGGGCCAAGCAGUUAUUCUCGCACACGGGCUUCUUUCAGUCACAGUAAUGGGCGCUGACAAGAUUCCCCUUAUGAUCGGUUGGCUGCUCUGUCCUUCGUGUUUUGCAACACGAGGAAACGUAGGAAACUGAACUCUGACAGGAAAUCGGUAUAAAGCACUGUCCGUGUACGUGAUGGUGCACAGACGAUUGGCAGGGCCUGCUUCUGUCGCACCCCCAGAGCUCAUGAGGGGUUCCCUUAAGGGUGCACCAGCCCAGCGUGGCCUCGGCUGCCCCACAUCUGAGGCGUGAUGCAGCAGCACGUAGGCCAUGGCAGCAGGCGACCCUCAGCUUCCAGGCUCCCCAGAGCGUGCUUUUUUCUUAGUUAUCUUUCAUAGAGAAUUCUGGAGGUCUGUGAAUGAGGUUGAAAAGCACUGGGCUGAAGAACUGUUGUCACUGAGAAUUCCAUGGGAGAUAGGUUAAGCAUAUUCUUAUCUGUCCGUGUUUGUGCUAGGUAGCUGAAGCUAUCGGCUAGCCAGGGAAUUCUGCUGGCCAGGAUUGUCAGCAUAUUCUCCAAACGGAGAAUAAACAGUGCUUCUGAAUCAGCCCAUCACUAUGACCUUGCAGUAAGUGCCCAGCCUUAGCCCAAAACUAUCACAGACCAGGAAAAACAGACCAUGAUAAUGUGAAUGUAAUGGCAGGAAGUCACGAUGGAGGAAGCCAGCAGUAUCUUCCCAUCAGCAGAAGAUUGCUCUUACUGCAUGUUUUGUAGUCUUACUUAUUUUAGUUUCAGUACUCCCUAAGAAGCACAAGUAGUGACUAGGAACAGAAGUCACGCUUAUUUGGCGUAAUAAUAUGAUAAUGUCAGAAAUACUUUUUGGCCAGUAUAAGCUAGAAUACACAACCUUAAAAAGGAAUUACAUAUAUAUACACGAGCAAGUUUCAGGGGCAAGAUGAAAAUGCGAGAUUAUGUGCAGUGUAAGGCUGCUGUAGGAUCUAAAAAAAGUCUUCUACAGCUGGUUUAAAUCUGAAAUUUCCUGUACAGCAUUAGACAUUUUUAGUGAAUUGGAUGAUACGCUGUCAUGCUGGAAUCAGAAUUAUUACAGGUAACUUUGAACUUCUGAUACAGUUCAUUUAAAGAUUGAACUGUACAAGAAAUGAUUCCUGUUUGUAUACUGGGAAGGUGGGAAUGACAUUAAGAAAACGGGCCUUGCUAAUUAAAAGGGUAUUACUAAAUAGUAUCAGUUUUUUUUGUUUUAGAUGAAGUAUGUUGUCUAGGACCUAAACUAGAAUUGCUUCUACAAUUGGAUGUAUUUUGAGAGCUCUUGUGACUUCAGCAAGCCACUGCUGAUCUAAAAGUUUACCUGUAUGGAUUGGUUUGCAGGCUUGUGGCAUAGCUGCAGUGCUUAAGGACAGAAUAAUCUGAAAUACAACUAUUGGGGUUGCUUUUAUACAUUGAGAGUUUUUUAGCUCAUUAAGACUCGGAUGUUAAUAGAACUGAGGACCAGCUGAGGACCACCAACGUUUCUAGUCCAAUUCUUUAAAUUAGGGGGAUGCUGUGAUGUUAAUAUUAAAUUCAGAUUAAAAAGAGAAGAAUAAUAGAAUAGAUGUGAGUAUUAAAAGAGAAAGUUAAGUUACAAGAAAUUUGCCAAAGAAAUAGAUGUGCUAUAUUACAAAAAAAAAAGAAGCAAAAAGAUUUGCAAAUGUUGAAUAAAAACCUGAUAAGAAAGUUUUAGUUUGCAGCUUUGCAGUGAAGAUAAAGAACACAUGCGAAACAAAAAACAAAAAUAUUCAAGAAUAAAAGGAAACAAGAAAAGAUACUAGUUGUAGCUUUUUGUCUAUCGACAUACUAGAAUGAAAUCAAUCUAGAAAAGCCCUGAAUCUAACAGGUAUUGCAUCUGUACUGUAUGGGAGCUCUGUUAGGUGGUAGUCUUCUUGCUGAAUUAGCACUGACUUGAGAUCACCAGUGAGGCUGAGUUUGUUGCCCAAUCAGAGGAGCCACUGUUUCCUCUUAUUUGAGAUUAAUCAUCAAAUGUCAUGUCUCAGUAUGUGACCUGAAUAAACUAAACUUGACAGGUACAUUAUUGAAAAGCCUUCCCUCUUAAAGCCCUCUUUCUAGGCUUCUUCUGGUAAACUGUAGGUCCAGUGACCAGUUCCCAGUCUAUUUGCAGAAAAGGAUGUGUUGUAUCUAAGUUGAGCUACGUAGAUAAAGCACAACUGGUCUAUACAUGACAAGAAUAACUUUACCAUACUCCAAAAUGUGGCCAUUUCACAGUUGAGAUACAGACUUUACUGUAAAUAGCAGAGGAGUUUAGGAGAGAUUCUGAUGAAACUUUAGGGAAGGCUGUGAAAGAUCGUGCAAGUUAGAAAGAAAGCUACAACUAACACCUCUCCAGUUUUUAGCUCAUUGCUUUAUUUGAGCACUGUAACUGCAUCUUGUUGCUUUACAUCUUAGAGUUGCACAAAUUCUGAAGGAAGUGCACCAGCUAACUCAUCUUCUGUCAGGUGCAGUGCCAGCAGUACAUGGAAAUGUCUUUUCUGUUUGUACACUCCUUUGAAACUUCUGAGUUACAAUAUAUUAUUUCUGGUUUCAAUAGGCCCUUCUGCCAGUGACCCUGUCUUUAAAGGAAGGUAUUACUGAAGGAUCGUUGGUAUGUGGUCCAGCUCAGUGUUCACAUCUGUGUUACACUGUUCCUCCGUAAAGUGGUUUUUUUGUCAUACAGAAGUCUAGAAUGCAACUGGACAAGAUAGGCAGGAAUGCACGCUGGUGCGGUGUAUUCUGUACUGUAUUCUGUAAAAACUGGAACUCAGUUGUUUUAAAAGGCUGGGAUUUAAAUUGAAGGACUGGUAGGGAAUCAAUUCAACAAGUUACCUUAAAACUAAAAGGGCAACAAGCAGAAUACCUGUAAAUCACAGGCCUGAAGAAGUAACUAGGACACAAAAAACAGUUCAGGGAGGUGUCUUCUGAAUUUGAGGCAAUACAGUCAAGUAGUGGAACAACUUCAGUAAAAUCUGGAGAGCCAUAUGGUUCUGGUUUUUAAACAAAAUAUUUGUGUGGUACCAAAUAAAAACAAAAUAAUGUCAAGGUUUUGAAUCAGACCACAUUUACUCAAAUCCAACCUCAUCCUGAAUGUUGGCCUUCAUCUUCAGUUUAAACCUUAGCAAACAUGAAAAGAGAUUCAGCUGCUAUUCAUAGGGAUUGCACUCAAUUUCUGCAUCGCAUAUAGACCCGUUUGCUUAGGAAUAGAAUCUUUUGACAGGACUGCAGGACAAACUGGCAGGUUGACUUGAGAGGUUUCAUUUGUCAGCACAAGGUAGUUGGAGGUAGUUGCCUGACUUGAGUUCAUUCUGUUGAACAUGAACAGAGAAAUUAUUCCUUGCCUAGUGUAAAAUUGUCAAGGAAGCAGCAAUGGUUAGAGGAAGGUGUUGGCUGGGGUUGUAUCACCAUCCCCCAGAAAGCACCUCCCUAUCCUGUGAUGAAUGGCUACCAGAGUACAAAUUUUGUAAGGUGGGAGCAGGCUCGAGCAGUAGGUGUGGUCUGACCAGAAGCUGAGCUAACCUGACAUCUCAAUGAGCUUGACUUACACAUAUGCUAGGAAACCAACUCUGCAAAAAUACUCCUCCGCACUGCAAGCUAAAUUGUGUCAAAUGGUACAGGACUGGACAGGGCUUCAGGGGUGGAAGCAAAUGAGGAGGGGUAGGACUAUCUUCAGCAGGAAAAUGUAGAUUAGUUUGGGGUGUCGAGGUUGCCAGACCAUGCGGGAAAUUGCUGUGUUGAAGUGUCUGUCAAGAGGCCAGGAUUUCUAGCACCCAGAGAAGCGCAAAUAGCACUCGAGCAUCUGAAAAGUCUACUAUUCUGUAGGUCUGCCAUGGAUAUCAAAGGCUGUGUUAGUCUGCUGUACAAAUGCAGUAAUAUACAACUGUAACAUUAUAAAAGGCAAAUAAUAUUUAUUAAAGGUAAAAUUGGAUUUUAGCAGUUUUCCUAUUUUAAAUGGUGAAGGCAACUCUAAAAGUAUUGGUUUCUGCCUGGAUGUCUCAAUUAAGCAACUCCAUUUAAGAAAGGUCAAAGAGAAAUCUCCAGUACCUGGAUCCAGCUGUUCACAGGGGAGACAUUUGAUUCCAUUGAAGCACUUGCAUCCAGUGGAAGUUGUUCAUAGGAUAAGGAAAGGCCUCUCAAACUAGUGGACGGUACAGCUGACAGCAGUAACACACCAGCUCCAGCUUCUUUCUGCAGUUGCCCAAAGAUGUGAGGCAUGCAGCCUAGCUGCAGAAGGGGAAGAACCUAUGAAUAAGUAGUCUAAUCACCCAGUCCAUGCACACAUCUAAAGGCCAUGACUCUUCUCAAACACUGGUGACAGAUCUUCAAAGAAUGAGGCCAACAGGAGAUCUGUCCAAGCUCUGCACAUGCCUGUGUGUGAGAACAGUCAUCAUAAACAUUUUUUAUUGCCUAGUCAUUUUAUUUACAAUUUUUUAAGCAAUUAGGAUGAAAAGAGUCAUGUUGCAUUUUAGUCAGAAAUUAUUCCUCAUUCAUUACAGCUGUAGCUUCCUAAGUGACAUUAUUUUUGUACUUUGUGCCAAUUGCCAAAGUCCAUGAGGAUCUUUUAGUAUUUGACCCAGUAAACAGGAACUAUCUGUAACGUUAGUGAAAACUAAUUCUGCUGGUUGUAAUUUCUAUAGCGUUAAACUGUGCAACUAAAGAACUUCAGUGCGCUACGUAUGUUUUUUCCCCCAUUAAUUGUAUUGUCUUGUUUUUAUUUGUGUGUACUUUUAAAUAAAGAGUAUGGUAGUAACAUCUACUCUGUAAAAUGUGUGUGUUUUUUAUUCCGUUGGCAACUUAUUUCACCUAAGAACAUUUUUAAUUAACAAAAUCUGUUACUUUCAAAGAGGAAACAUUCAUCUGAUCUCUUCCCUACUUGAAGAAAGACAAUGAGAAAAAUCAGAUAGGCACACAAAGCUGAUAAGUUGUCACUUAGCAGGUAAUGUCACUGUAGAGAGAUAACUCUUUCAUUUCACCUCACUUAAAUCAGAAACACCUAUUUUUAAAGCUUCCUAAAACAUAACACAGUUGGACCCCAUCAGUAUCCUCUUUAAGCGUAAGUCCUAUCCUUCAGGAUCACUGAAGCAGAUAUAGUUAAAUUACAGAAAUAAUUGGGAAAAAGCAAAACAUAGGAUCCUUCAGAUAACUGUUCAGGGGAAAAAAAACCUAUAACCAUGACUUGCAGAAUCAGUAAUACGGUCUCUAAGGAUCCUUCUCCGUAGCCUGUCACAAGGUUGGAUUGGAAAUAAAUAUAGAUUCACCUGAAAAAGAUUAAGAAAAAAAAGGGGGUUGUUAUGUACUUCUUGUCUGGCAUAAUUCUGUCUCACUUCCAAUUUGGCAUUUUACUUUUAAUAAUACCAAUAGCAGGAAAUUAGGCCGUUGUGGAAAUGAAAGAGAGUGGCAAAUUAUAUAUAUACGCACAUAUGUUUACUGAAAAUUUGAAAACUUAAUAGCAGGAAUUAUAUACUCUGAAAGGAAAUAUUUUUAGAGGGAUGAGAGAUUCCUAAAAAUAACGUCACUUCAAUCUGAAUUCAAGUUGCCCAAGCGAGAUCAAACAGGACUCUGUGGCUCCCUCUAGGAGAAAGAGGCUUGGGGUUACAAUCCAGCUGCAUCCCCUGCUCGCUCUGGCAGCUCUCAGGGCCACUGGUGGCAGACCCCCAUCUGCUCUCCUCCUGCGAGGAGCCCGUGUUGCUCAGCGUACUUUCUGGCAUGCCCAUGGUGGCACAUAAAACCUUUGUGGCUUUUGCUGCAAGCAUAAUGCCAUUAAAAGUAGGCAUGAGCAUGAAGAGCAGCAGAACAAAUGAGGUUUGUGCCUUUAACUUAUUAACUUUUAAAGAGGAAGUGGAAAGUUUCAUGGUUCAUUGCGGAUUUUUCUGUCUUCACAGUGCAGAGAAGUAAAAUUUUAAAAUUUGGACCAUGGUAACACGUAGGUUCAGCUUUCUUUUCCUGCAGUAAAUACCACAGAGGAGGAGAAUUAUAUCAGAAAUACCAAGGAAGAGAAGCCUGGGUGAGAUGUGAAAUUCCAGUUACAGCUGUAGAAACCUGUAAGGAAAAAAGCUGAUACUUUACUAAAUUUUAUCUAAGAAACACCUCAGUAAAAGCACUGUCAGUAGUUCAGCUUAAGACUGGAAGAUACACGUUUGAGCCUUGAUAAUGACAACAAUUAACGCACUGAUGGUGCUGACAUAAAAUAACAGUAGAUACCUUUAACUGCUGAUUCACCUCUGGCUGCUAUGGAAAAGCCCAUACAUCUUUGUUGCCUUUUUUGCAUCUCACUGACAAUCCCAUAAUUACGUUACUUCUCAGACCCUGCUGCACAUCACUCGUGGUCCUUCUGACCCAUUUUGGUUUUAGAACUGCUCUAGACAGCCUUCCCAAUCUAAAGACACUUGCCAAUGUCUGCACUUUGCCUCAGGUGUCCUUCCUAUUUCUAAAAAUUAAUUAACAUAAGCUUAAUUAUUUUUUGAUGUAUUGUUUCUCACGCCUCGAUUAAUAUCUGAAUUAUUGAAGUGGAUCACUGCUAUUAGUUUGUUCUCAGAAAGUUGGAAAAUUCAGAAACUCCACUAUCAUCUUAAUUACUUACAAAUGAAGGGUAAAUCGUCUUCUAAUCCGUGGCAGAACUCCAGAAGAUUUAAUGGAGACAGGAUCUCACUGCAAGACAGAGUUCCCCGUGCAUUCCCCCAGGCUCAGCAGGACCACUCGAGCACUGAAUGCUCAGUCUGCGUGCCUUGCAUAAGCAUCAGAGUGCAAUUCCAGGACAAGAAUUCCACUACAUCUUUUCCUUCACAACAAUAGGGCCAGAUUUUCAGCAACACGAUACAUAAACAGAGUGGUAAUUGAAUAUUCUAUCUGCCUCCAAAAUCAAACCCAGCAAAACAAACAACCUUCCUGCUUUUUGUCUCCCAGGGGAAAAAAAUAUAUGACAACGCUUCUCUUUCCUAGCCUGGAUUCCUAUAGGAAUUCAAACUUUUUUUGAGAUCAUUCUCUCUUUGUAGAUUUUAAUGAACAGUGUGUGUGUGUGCAUGCGUGCACACAUACAUGCAUGUGCAUACCUGCAUGUUAUGAAAGAGGAAGGGGGAGCGAGAACAAACAGCCAGUUUUAACCACAUCUGACGGAGCAAUAAAAGGCUCUAAAAAAUUACAUUCUUAUACAUUUUGUGAAAACAGACUGCUAAGCAAGGGAGAUGAGACCCGCUGCAGCUUGAGUUAAACCCUUAUUAAACACCGGGAAAGCUGCAAAGAUGAAAGAUAUAAUGAAUACCCACCCACAGAAAAACUGCAAUCAGAGCCUCCAGCCUGCUAGACAUGGGAGAAUCCAAGUAAGAGAUCACCCAAGGGAAGCCAAGCCCCACGAGCUCUGCAGAUCACAGGAGUGCCCGGGUUGGGUUUAAGUUGUGUUUCUAAUCCAUUGCUGUCCAGCUCUGAAGGUGGCACACUUACUUUUGCAAUGACUUUGAGGAAAGUCUAUUGACCUACCAGUGUUAAGUAGAACACAGAGGCGUGCUUUGGCAUUCAGCGACGAGUCAGGUGGCAGCUCUGGUAUCAACUGUCUGACAUCUCUUCUCUCUUGGAUGCCAAAGGAAAACUGAAAGAAAGAGAGGAGGUCUGAACAGUACCAUUCCAACAAACACACUGCAUUCAAAAUGAUGCUUACUACCUGUGGUGUUUGUGCCUUGGUUGCCUUUCCUCACCCACAGCUAGAGUGUGUUUGACAAAGCUUGUUUACCUCACCGAGAGUGGCACGUUUGUCACCUAUCAGUCACACAACCGGGGACAAACUACCUUACUGCAGCACUCCCAAUCUCUCCCGGAUGACUGCCUUCCUUUUUACGUUCUGGUCUCAGUACCUCAUCUUUCAUCUCUAACUCUUUUUUGCACCACACACUUCAGUUCCUCCUCUGCUAAGCUCAUUCGCAUCUCUAAAAAUAUCAUCCAGGAACUUUUUAUUCUUCGUAAUAUUGGGCAGCAAGGCAACUUGGCUCUCAUGAUCAGCAAUCUUGCUCACAAGAGCUCAGGAAAUAACGCACAUAGGCUCCCCGUGCCUGUAGCUAUACCUAGCAGUGCUGCAAUUCAUGGUCCUUCACACCCUGCACAAAGGAAGGAGAGAUAAUGAAUGAAUCCAGCGGCCAAAUCCUACUAUUUCCUUCUUCCCGAAAAGGUUAACUUCAGGAAAAACAGAAGUGCCCGUUCUCAUCACAGAGUGACAGGGAUUUGUGUGGCAUCAUUAUUGCCAUUAGUGCUGCUACACCUAUCUGAGGUUAGCCUGAGAUAGUUUAAAUGAACUUCUUUAUUUUUCAUCUUUUGUUACCAGGAGAAUAAUGAUGAGCUGGCACAGCACUAAGAAUCUCCAAGGCUUGGAGCAAUAAAAUGGAGUUACAGUCUUCUAAAGUGGUUACAUUUUGCAUGCUUAUGGGAAAAUAAAUAUUUAUUCUCUUCGGUACGUUGUAGCUGCCAGUCCCUGAUUUUCCUCCAAUAAGAUGACUUAGACGAGCAGCCGCUUGUCACUUUUCUACUGUCAUUCAUUACUUAAAGAAAUACAGAGGAAGUUGGAACUGCACAUUCUCUGAAGCAGUAAAUAUUUAAAAAACUGACUUUCAUUUUUUUGUUUUUUAUGUGACACUGAAGUCUGCCAUUCUAUUCCCAGAGGGAUGAUAAUUCCUAUAGUAAGACAAUUCAACAUAAACAGAUGCAAUAAAACAGGUCAGUUAAAUCUGCAAGUUAAUUCUAUGCGAGAGCAAGAAGGCUGCUCAGUUCCCUAAGGGGUUAAGGCCCCAGGGCAGUACAGCUCUGUGGACUAAAGGUUGCAUAUGUGCUUGAUUUCUGAGCUGGGACCCACAUCUCUAACUCACUACAGUCAUUUUGCACAGUUUUCAGGCAGUGAGUGGGCAAGCUGGGAAGCAGUGACCAGAGGGGAAAAAAAUUAAGCCAUUUCCAAAGGAUCUGUGAAACUUUGUAAUCUGCCUCUGGGCUUUCCAUGGAGAAAAGCAACUUGUUUGACACUGUCAGUACAAAGAUGCCCAGUUUGGUUUCUGUAAAAGCUAUGUUAAAUAUCCCAUUUGCCAAAUAGAAAUCAGUAAGAAUUAAAAUGCAUUAAUGAUUUCUCUCCAGGCCAUAAGGCCAGCCACUCAGGCACCAGAACCAAGUGCAAAAGUGAGCUAAUAAUCAUCUCAUCUGCCAUUUUCUACAUUUGAUACAGAGAUCAUCACCACCUUGACUAUAAGCACAGAAGAGACAGAGAACGCUUCCUGCUGUACCCUGAGUGGAAAGGCCUCUGCCUGCCCGCUAUCUGGUGUUUAACUCAACUCCUACUUUGCAGUUUCUCUCAAACCAUUUCAGAUCUAUCAACAGUCUGAGAACUCCCUACUGGUGACUAUGGGAAAUAUUUUCACUGCUGCAGCUAAUCUACAAAGACAAAUAUUUUCAUGUUUAUAGUGCGAGAAACAAAAUAUCCUUAUCUCCCAGUAUAAAACAUUUGCUCUUUGUUGGAUACCAACACAGUUCAGCUCCAGAACUGUUUGAAAUCCUGGCUCGUGGCUUAUCUAAUUCAGUGAUACUCAUGAGAAUGGGAGCUAGUGCUCUGCGAGUACUUCAGACAGCCAGGGAAGUUCUCCUCCUAAAGUCUCUGUUAAUCAUGGGAGAAAUUACCCCCAUUUCAUAGACAUGACUGUGAUGGGCAGGAGUACCCAGAGCUUCGCCAGAGGUCGCACACCAAUGCUCCCGGCAGAAAUAGGUCACCACCUUCCCACCUCAAAGAAGAAAAUGAGAACGUUUUUCUUUGUUCUCUGGUUUGAAUAACUGCCUCGUUAUUUUUCCACUGCUCCAUUUUGUUCUUUGGAAAACCUUUUUCCAUUCUGUUGUACAUUUCCCACAUACGCGUGCUUUCACAAUUAGCCAGUUGGUGCCACCAACCCAAGUUUUGUCCCUGCCACCUACCUGUAGCUCUGCAGAAGCCAAACAGUGGAAGGCAUCGCUGUGGGUCCUCCAGCGGCUCCAAAUCCCACAGCAGCUCAGCGUGCCCUUGGGUGCUUCAGCAUCUGAAGGGGAGAUGCAAAGCCCACCGCAGAGCCACCGCCGGGCCCAGGCACCCCACGUUGGGCCAUUCCACACAUUCGUGCAUAGGAAGUGUAUCAUAACAGCCCUGGACAUUACAUCCAACCAGGUGCUUUUCAGUCUGAAUGUUAACAGAAGCCACUCUCAACAUUUUGUCAAUUAGUGCUAUUGCCAAGAUACUGGCUGGAGAUUAGAGCCUGUUCAGAACUCGUUUUUCCACUUUUCAUUUCCUCUUUUUUUUUUUUUUAAUUUUAAUUUAAGGCUGUAUUAUGCUUCAAAACAAAACCAAACCAAUAUUUUCAAACCCACCUGUGCAGUAUUAGUAGCUGCUUCCUUGUGGGACAGUGCCCCUCUCAAUCGUCUCCGUACAGUUUUCAGUCCUUGCCACCCACUCAUCCCAGCUGUUAAUUCUCUCUGACAUUUCCAUGCAUCUUUCUUCCAGAGAAGAAAGAGGCCAUUGAAGAAUAUCGUGCAGAGUGUCAAACAGUUUCCGAAUUGAUCCCUCAAGGCUCGGGCCAGGGAGAGGGCAGCCCGGCUCAGAGGCAGAGCCCGGCAGAGUUUGCUGGGGAACCUUUGAGCCAGCAGCACUCCACUUGAAAAGCCUUUUUCCUUCAGACACAUUCGUGCCUUGAAUCAUUACCAAAUAUAGAAUGCAUUCUUUAAAAGAUACUGCUUUCCCCACAUGAGGUACCUAAAACUGUUAGAAAAAGCUAAGCUGAAAAAUACAACGAUACCCGUUGCCAUAUAUGGCACACAAUUAAAUCAAAAUUGCCCCACAGCCUGACUUGGUGGCCAUGCAAACCUUCACUUUACUCCUCCAGAUUGGUUUGUGAGAUACAACCAGCUCCUCACACACGCACAUGGCUACCGACGUGGCUCCUUGCACACCCACUUGCUGAAAGGAAGGGGCAUUUGACAGCAUGAUUAUUAAGAACAGGAAGAAAUUAACAGUGACCAAAACAAAGAUGUAAAAUUCCCUUAUCCAGAUGCACUGUGCAUCUUCCAGUUGCUGCUCCUGCUGUUGUCACAUCUGGCUGUUACAGAAAUUACUUGUUACACUAUCUUGGCACUCUGGUGUAGAAAAUAGCAUUACCAGCUCUUCUCCUGUCUAUCUUUCCACCAGGGCUUCAGGCACAGCCGUGAAAGGUCUCCAGGCCCCUCACCAUUCUGCUUUGUCCCAUGCUGGCUCCCUGCAGGACCCAACGGCAAGGCUGUGCCGCAGGCGUCACGCACUCUCCCUCACCCAGGAUGCACAGCAGGAGAACAGUUGUUAAGUUGAUGCAACAUUUUCCAUCAGAAAAGGGUUAAGGAUGACUAGGAGAGUAAUAAAGCCCUCCCUUCUACUACUUUUUAUACCACUACCACUCUCCAGUGUGUGAACUUCCCUUUCCAUUCCAGGAAGAGCGCCACCAUUUUGUAACAGGUGUGGAUGUCAGAGUCACUUCAGUUUACUUCACACAGAUAUAGUUUCUGAUCCAUUGCUUGCAUUAAACCGUUGACAUGUACAGUGGCUUUAGUCCCUGAACUGUCAAAGCAGGCGGGAUAACUUUCCCGAUUCUGCCUCCCUCAUUUCUUUUCCACUUUUACCCAGACUUUGGCCUCCUUCCCUCACAGCUGAUCUCAUCUUUGUGUUUUCCUUGCACAUGUUUUGAGUUACUAUCUCCACCCCUCACCCAUGCCCUUAGAACACAUUUACUUGCUUUUGCUCCAACAGAAGAUCUAUUACACAGCCCAAACACCCUGUGUUCCAAGUGUCUGAAGCCUGGCACCGUGAAUGCUGGCCCUGCUUAGAUUCCUUCCUUUACAGGUGUUUUCUCAGUGCCCUUUCCUAUACUCCAGGUAGGGAUAUAUCUUCCCCUUCUCCCACCUCUUCACAUAGUCUCCUCCAGGAGAGAAGCUAUGUGCGCUUCAGGCUGAUGCAGGCUUUGCUGAGGAAGCUCAAACACUUCAGAGCUGGCAAUCCCAGCUGGGCUCCUCUGCUCCUACCCACCAGAGUGACCACGAACCACAGUAAGGUACAACAUGCACCAGGAAACCACAGCCCUGGAGCAAACACCCCCUGCUGUUGCAAGACAACACGUGAAAAGCAAAAACACAAAUAACACGGCACUAAGGCAUUCUGUACUUUGAUGCAGGUUUGCUUAGACAUCCAGAUACCCCAGCUCAUCUGAACAGCUCUCUGACUUGCAGAGAGCAGUUGUCUUGGUGUUUUUCUCUCACAUGUGAAGACAAACGCCAGAUGAGCUGCUACUCAGGCUGAAACUGAAGGCUGUGCCAGCAAAAGGACAAUUCUGCUGUGCAGUGUCUGAUGGCAGUGUGCGUUGAGCCCUAAGAACAUGGUAACUCUUCUCUGGGAGUAGCAUACUUAGACGAAGACAGUCAUAAUAACAAGAUGGUUUUUGUAUAUACCAAAAAAGCCUGUACCCUAGGUUGCAUGUGGUUGUUGCAAGGCAGCACUUACAUUCUGCAGCAAUAAGCACUUAUGCUGCUUGGUUGAAUGAAGGAAAAAGUGGAGGGGAGGAGGGAGAGCGAAUUGUCACUGAUCCACAGUCAGAGCCCUGGCACUGCCCAUGUCAUUGCUUUGCCCAAGUACCUGAACAUUACCAUUAUGCUUGCACUGCUGAGACACGAAUACAAAUCCAUCCCUUCGACGCUGGCCAGCUGAUCACUCCCAUCUUGCAAGUUUUGUAUACUCAGUUUAGUAUCCUUUCACUAUAAGGCUGACAAACGUGAUCUGAAAAUUGAGAAAGUGGGAAGAGCCAGCAUUCUUCUUUACUGACAUGGUUCCUAGAAGGCAACUCUAGACAAGACAAGUCUUGCUCCCCCGCAGGAACCAAAGAAUAACCUUUGUUCACACUUCUGAUACCCCAGCUCCACAGAUGGAGCACAACACAUCUCUAACGGGAUUUCACUAAGGGUUAUUUUUCCACUUAGGCUCCAAGUAAGACCUCAGGAGGUGCAGUGUGCAUUUGUUAUAGUUGGAAGACAACAGCUGCGGGCCAGGAAAGUCAGAGCCAAAAGGGGCUCAAAAGCUAUUUUCAGAAAGAUCAACAGAAAAAACAAAUCCUUAAUAAAAUCUUCUCAAGAUAUUUUAGUGUUAAACAUUAAUGGUUUUAUGGAUGCGAUACAGGUCGUUCCCAAAUAAACAAGAACUUUGCAAGUAGCUAUUAGGAUAGUAUGCAGUUUGAAGUAACACUGUUAAAACCCCUGAAAUACUUACAAACUUCCCUUUUUCCCCCAGGGCAUGCCACAACACAAAAACCCAUCUUCGCAACAAGAGGAUUUACAGGAAAAAAAAUGGUCUUACUGCGAAUUUCCCAAGCUGAAAAUACUGGAAAUGCAUUGGGAUCCUGCUUGUUCACAUACACCACUUGAGCAGAAAAUAUCAGAUCUAAACCAAAGUGGUUCACACCAUGGGAGAGAUGCUCCACAGCUCCUGCUGGCCGCCCAGCAGCAGGCAUCUCUCAGCUUGCUCUGAGCCUGGUGCUUGUCUCACUAACUACAAUGGGGGGGGAGGAAAAGGGGGGGGUGUGGCGGCAAAGAAAACCAGUUUCUGACUGAAGUCAGCAAGAAUUUAACGCUAAACACAGAGCUAACAGUUGGCCAGAAGGUAAAAUUUACUUCACUGCUACACUCUGACCACGUUUGGGAUUCUGGAAGAAGCCUAGGUAGGACUUGAUCUUUUGACACAAGCAACUCCAAAGUGCACUAGCUCUUCUGAUGCUGCUUUCUUACCCACUACACUGGAUUGGCCACGAGGGACUGCAGAAGAGACCUCCCAGUUCUGUCAAAGCACUGGAGAGCAGACAAUUGCUGGGCUACCAGAGUGACAUGCAAUGAGCCAUGCAGGGAAGGGCAGCCCAGAGGCUCAUGUUUUGUCUCAUAUCGUUUUGUAUCCCACCCCAAAAUUCUUGCUUCACUUCUGUCAACAUCUUCUUCCUAUUCUCUUCAUCCCUAGCUACGCGUGAUAUUUAUAGAAGUUGUACUUCUGCUUAUUUUAGCUUUGUAUAUUCAGUUUUCUUGUUCUCGAUAUUUCUACCAGAAACUACAUGUUUUUUUUCUCCUUUCAACGUGCACUUUUGGAACAAUAAAGCAACCACUUGUCCCCUGCGCAAAGGAAAAGAAGGAUAUAGAGGAGAAAUGGGGAAAAGCAAUGGGGAGGGAAGCUGGGUUCCGCUACUGCGCUGAAGUUACCUUUGUUCCCAGUCCUUCUGUUUCUGAAGUCCAACGAGUCCUGGUGGCUCAGCACGGCACCCAGCUCAGAUGGCAGUUCCAGCUGGCGCUCUUCCACAGUGCUGUUGCGCUGCGAACUGCAGGAAAAGCUCCCGUAAGUCCCCCACGCCUUGCCCUGCCGAUGUGGAAGCAGCCUGCAGUCUUUGGAUGGAGGCCUCCAGGUGCACCUGAAAAACCCCAUGGAGAUGGGCCUCGUGAGCUCCUGCAUGCACCUGCCUUGGUAUGAUUAUGGACAGACCAAUUCCUGCCUUCUACCUCUUCAUACAAAAUCAUCAUCGAAAUUCCUUUUAAUAACAGUAAUUUUAAAGUGUCUGGUGUCUUUCAAAUUCUGAGUGAUAUGAAUGCAGAGAGUCGCAGCAAGGUUUUUGUCUUUUCAAAAAGCUUCAUUUCCUGAAGCGCAUUAUAUCAAAACCCCACCCUACAAAUUCCCUUCUGUGCAACACAGCGCUCCUUGUUAAAAUCCUGCACGAGCCUGUUUCCUCCUCUCUCCCUUAGGUACCAUUCUCUCUAUGUACGCUACAAUAACAACUGUGCCUUUACUGAGGUUGAACACAAUAACCAGGUCUUUGUGAAGGAUAAUUAACAGCCAGCAGUGAAUCUUAGCAUUUAUUCAACUGAGUAUGAAUGAGUUAUGAAAAUUCUUUUCUGUAGGGGAAGUAAUGGGAUAUCGUUACCUUCACAUAUGCUUUGCCUCUUGCAUUAUAGCAUAUUUAUGAUUUUCGUACUUUCAAGUCAGAAUAGGUACACAGAUGCCAUAUAUUUGCAUUCAGACAGUUGUAGCUCAGUGUUUUCCUCCCCUUCUGUCACUGACAAAAUCCCCACUCCAUCUGCAUUUAAUCCAAAUUCCUCGUGUCCACUCUGAGCUGGAUGAGUGGACCUGAGCCUCUCCAGCUGUUCCAAGAGAUGCAAAGGUUUGUUUCUGGGACUGAAUUCCCACAGCUGACAUAACCUACCUAGAUUAGCACCCUCACUUAGGGUGCUUCAGGGGCAAUACAGUGGUAUGACACAGCUCAGAAAUACAUGGAGCCCCUACAAUUGUGCGUGAACUUUCCAUUUUGCGAUAGAAAGCUGCCAAGUUGUUUUCUACUAUUGGAGAUAUGUCCUUAGAAACAUUCAAAAUCAGGAUGGAUCAUGCUCUGAGCAACCUGAUCAACAGCAGGUGUCCCUGUUCAGAGCCAGAGAGUAGGAUUAGAUGGUCCUUAAGGGUCCCUUCCAACUCGAACGAUCCUAUCCAAUAGCUACGCAUGUCAAAAGCAGCAACUCCCAGUUAUAGCAUGUAUAUAACAUAUAUAUACACAUAUAUAUGUUUCUUCAAAGUGUAUUCAUAUACACAAAACACAGAAAUAUCUCUCGAGUCUAAGACUGAAAACCAGUUGUAGCAUAACUUAAGUGAGAAAGUAGAAGCACUAACAACCACUGAUAGAAAAGCAAAGGGAAGCAAAAAUGUCCAGAUGCAUUAACUGAAAAUAAUAAAUAAAACCAAAGUUUUCCUGGGACUGUUCCCAAUGUCUGUGGUUUCAGUUCUCACCCA
rnacentral:lncRNA from 1 species